GUGAAUGCCUUGGCGUCAGAGGGCGACGAAGGACGCAGCAAGCUGCGAUAAGCCACGGGAAGCCGCAAGCAGGCUAUGAUCCGUGA
rnacentral:rRNA from 1 species